rnacentral:snRNA from 1 species
CUACUUAUCCAGCAGGGAAGAUACCAUUAUCACAAAGGUGGUUUUCCCAGGGCAAGGCUGGAUCCAUUGCACUGGGGAUCUCCUGACCCCAUGUGAUUUCCCCACAUGAAAAAAAAAUUUUUUUUUUCUAAACAGUAUUCCAUUUGAGUUCUCA